UUUGAUGUGGUGAUGGUAACUACAAGAGAUCUACAUCAGAUUUCUGACUUCUGCUGAACUGUGUGGUUGAUAUAGAAACAGUAGCUGUCAUCGAUCUACAUCAGAAUGGUGUGAACUAAGGAUCAAGAGUUCUGAUGUCUGCUUCUGAGUUCUGAUGUCUGCUUGCUGUAAAGACAGUAGUUGAAGAGGACCAGAUCAGGUCAUGUAUUCACUUUUAUUAUUUCCCUUAGUUUUUAGUUUGUUUUCAGAUGUUCCUUCAGAUUUGAAGAUUAUUACAUCCCAGUCCAAACUUCCCACAGAAUGACUGGGGAUCAACAGUGAGCAGAUUUAAAGAUUAUUAUAUCCCAGUUCAGAUAUCCCACAUAAUGACUGGGGAUUAACCAAUCCAAAGCACAUACCACAUGACCAUCCUAUGCAUUAAAGUGUUGCAUGGGUCUCAUACAUUACACUGAAUUUCUUAAAUUUAUAAUUUAUAUUGUUAGUUGAUUCUGUUAGUUGUACUUUCUAGAAAUUUUCAACCAUAUGCUGCUUUGUUUAUAAAUAACGAUAAUAUGAUACAUUUAGUACAAAACAUAAAAAUUUGUCUUAAACUAAAUUCUCAAUGAAGUACUAAGUAA
rnacentral:sRNA from 1 species